UUUUGAUGAGCCGACGAGCAAAACGGAGAGAUGGGUUCACGUGACCUUGCGCCGGAAACGUUACCAGUAGAAAAUGCG
rnacentral:sRNA from 1 species